UACGGGGGGGGCAAGCGUUGUUCGGAAUUACUGGGCGUAAAGGGCCAGUAGGCGGCCAACUAAGUCGGAUGUGAAAUCCCCAGGCUUAACCUGGGAACUGCAUCCGAUACUGGAUGGCUUGAAUUCGGGAGAGGGAUGCAGAAUUCCAGGUGUAGCGGUGAAAUGCGUAGAUAUCAGGAGGAAUACCGAUGGCGAAGGCAGGUCUCUGGGCUGACACUGACGCUCAUGCACGAAAGCGUGGGGAGCAAACAGG
rnacentral:rRNA from 1 species